GAUCAUGGCUCAGGAUGAACGCCAGCUACAGGCUUAACACAUGCAAGUCGAGGGGAAACGACAUUGGAAGCUUGCUUCCUUGGGCGUCGACCGGCGCACGGGUGAGUAACGCGUAUCCAACCUACCCUUGUCCAUCGGAUAACCCGUCGAAAAGGCGGCCUAACACGAUAUGCGGUUCUCAGCAGGCAUCUAACGAGAACGAAAUGUGAAGGAGAAGGAUGGGGAUGCGUCUGAUUAGCUUGUUGGCGGGGUAACGGCCCACCAAGGCGACGAUCAGUAGGGGUUCUGAGAGGAAGGUCCCCCACAUUGGAACUGAGACACGGUCCAAACUCCUACGGGAGGCAGCAGUGAGGAAUAUUGGUCAAUGGGCGAGAGCCUGAACCAGCCAAGUAGCGUGCAGGAUGACGGCCCUAUGGGUUGUAAACUGCUUUUAUAAGGGAAUAAAGUGAGUCUCGUGAGGCUUUUGCAUGUACCUUAUGAAUAAGGACCGGCUAAUUCCGUG
rnacentral:rRNA from 1 species